rnacentral:rRNA from 1 species
UACGUAGGCAGCAAGCGUUGUUCGGAAUUACUGGGCGUAAAGAGUGUGUAGGCGGUGCUCUAAGUUCGGUGUGAAAUCUCCUGGCUCAACUGGGAGGGUGCGCCGGAAACUGGGGUGCUGGAGCGCGGGAGAGGAAAGCGGAAUUCCUGGUGUAGCGGUGAAAUGCGUAGAUAUCAGGAGGAACACCGGUGGUGUAGACGGCUUUCUGGACCGUAACUGACGCUGAGACACGAAAGCGUGGGUAGCAAACAGG